rnacentral:lncRNA from 1 species
GUCUUCACAGCUUCUGGCCUGGUCUACUGGAGGAUCUCCCAAUCACUGGCUCCUUGCCUCAAAUCCAUUUGUGUUAUGUCUGGCCACCAGAGUGACCUAUCUAAACAUUAUAUUUCACCAUGCAUUUUCAGUGUUUUAAGCCUUUCUCUGGCUUUCCACCUUUUAGAAUUUAAUAUGAUGGGACUCUCCAUAUGAUCAAUUUCACAGGAUUCUCCUCUUUCUUAGUCACUGUUCCCUUGUAUUCCAUGUUUCAACACCCCAAAUCACUUGCUAUUUCCUGAUUAAAU